GUUAAGGCAUGAUUACCUGUACCCGAAACCGACACAGGUGGGGUGGUAGAGAAUACCGAGGGGCGCGAGGUAACUCUCUCUAAGGAACUCGGCAAAAUGACCCCGUAACUUCGGGAGAAGGGGUGCCAGCGCGAGCUGUCGCAGUGAAUAGGCCCAGGCGACUGUUUACCAAAAACACAGGUCUCCGCUAAGUCGCAAGACGAUGUAUGGGGGCUGACGCCUGCCCAGUGCCGGAAGGUUAAAGAAGUUGGUCAGCGCAAGCGAAGCUAACGACUGAAGCCCCGGUGAACGGCGGCCGUAACAAUAACGGUCCUAAGGUAGCGAAAUUCCUUGUCGGGUAAGUUCCGACCCGCACGAAAGGCGUAACGAUCUGGGCGCUGUCUCGGAGAGAGGCUCGGCGAAAUAGAAUUGUCUGUGAAGAUGCGGACUACGUGCACCCGGACAGAAAGACCCUAUGAAGCUUUACUGUAGCUUGGUAUUGUGCUCGGGCUCGCAAUGCGCAGGAUAGGUGGGAGGCUUUGAUCCAUUGCUUGUGGGUGAUGGUGAGCUACUGGUGAGAUACCACUCUUUGCGAGCUAGGGUUCUAACGGUUACCCGUCAUCCGGGAACCGGACAGUAUCUGGUGGGCAGUUUGACUGGGGCGGUCGCCUCCUAAAAGGUAACGGAGGCGCGCAAAGGUUUGCUCAGGCUGGUUGGAAAUCAGCCGACGAGUGUAAAAGCAGAAGCAAGCUUGACUGUGAGACCUACAAGUCGAACAGGGAGGAAACUCGGCUUUAGUGAUCCGACGGUUCUGAGUGGAAGGGCCGUCGCUCAACGGAUAAAAGUUACUCUAGGAUAACAGGCUGAUCUCCCCCAAGAGUUCACAUCGACGGGGAGGUUUGGCACCUCGAUGUCGGCUCAUCGCAACCUGGGGCUGAAGUCGGUCCCAAGGGUUGGGCUGUUCGCCCAUUAAAGCGGUACGCGAGCUGGGUUCAGAACGUCGUGAGACAGUUCGGUCCAUAUCCGGUGCAUGCGCAGGAAUAUUGAGAGGAUUUCUCCCUAGUACGAGAGGACCGGGAGGAACGCACCUCUGGUGUACCAGUUAUCGUGCCAACGGUAAACGCUGGGUAGCCAUGUGCGGAGUGGAUAACCGCUGAAAGCAUCUAAGUGGGAAGCCCACCUCAAGAUGAGUAUUCCCAUGGCUUAAGCCAGUAAGGUCACGGGAAGAACACCCGUUGAUAGGCUCUAUGUGGAAGCGCAGUAAUGCGUGAAGCAGAGGAGUACUAAUAGACCGAGGGCUUGAU
rnacentral:rRNA from 1 species